rnacentral:rRNA from 1 species
CCUACGGGGGGCAGCAGUGGGGAAUAUUGGACAAUGGGGGCAACCCUGAUCCAGCCAUGCCGCGUGUGAGAAGAAGGCCCUCGGGUUGUAAAGCACUUUCAGUGAGGAAGAACGCCUGGUGGUUAAUACCCAUCAGGAAAGACAUCACUCACAGAAGAAGCACCGGCUAACUCCGUGCCAGCAGCCGCGGUAAUACGGAGGGUGCGAGCGUUAAUCGGAAUUACUGGGCGUAAAGCGCGCGUAGGUGGCUUGAUAAGCCGGUUGUGAAAGCCCCGGGCUCAACCUGGGAACGGCAUCCGGAACUGUCAAGCUAGAGUGCAGGAGAGGAAGGUAGAAUUCCCGGUGUAGCGGUGAAAUGCGUAGAGAUCGGGAGGAAUACCAGUGGCGAAGGCGGCCUUCUGGACUGACACUGACACUGAGGUGCGAAAGCGUGGGUAGCAAACAGGAUUAGAUACCCCAGUAGUC